GUCACGGAGCGCGCUCGCUGAGCGGAAGUUACUCUGACGCGCUUGUUGACAGGUUCCGGCGCGCUGUUCCGCUCUGCUGUGCGCCUGAGUGUCAGAUUGCGAUUAUUAGUUAUUGAUUAUUGGAAUAUCAAUCUGUAACAUCGACGACUUCAGCCGCAGCUGGACCCGACCACAGCGGUGAACAUGAUAAAAGCCAUUCUGAUCUUUAAUAAUCAUGGCAAACCACGACUGUCAAAAUUCUACGAGCAUUACACCGAAGACACAGAACAGCAGAUCAUCAGAGAAACCUUUCAUCUGGUUUCCAAACGAGACGAGAACAUUUGCAACUUCCUGGAGGGCGGACUGUUAAUCGGCGGCUCGGACAACAAGCUGAUCUACAGACACUACGCCACGCUUUACUUUGUGUUCUGUGUGGAUUCGUCCGAGAGCGAGCUGGGCAUUCUGGAUCUGAUCCAGGUGUUCGUGGAGACGCUGGACAAGUGCUUCGAGAACGUGUGUGAGCUGGACCUGAUCUUUCACGUGGAUAAGGUGCACAACAUCCUAGCGGAGAUGGUGAUGGGCGGCAUGGUGCUGGAGACCAACAUGAGCGAGAUCAUCACGCAGGUGGAGGCGCAGGGCAAGAUGGAGAAGUCUGAGGUGAGAGCGGCUCCGCUGCUGCAUGCGUGUGCGUGUGGAACGCAUGUCCCAGAAUGCCGUUCUGUGGUGUCUGCUGCUGCUGCUCUUCUGUGAUCGAUCUGAAGAACAGAUCUUCUGCCCUCGACAGGAAACACAGGCAAAUGCGUUGCAUCGUGAGCGUUUGAACGAGGCUCCCUUUGAUCAUUUCCAUCCCACACACGCAAAACCAUACCGAACAUCACCAAACGCUGAGACCCUGAUUUCUACAGCGCUUUAUACAGUAGCAGCUUCACAGAGAUAAACAGGAAGAAUGAUGGAAACUUAUGAAACAAAUCCAAAUUCAGCUGAUUUAAGCUCUACAAGAGACCUUAUUCAGAUCAGUUCAGAUUCAGUUUGGUUUGAUAACGAACAAGUUCAAUUCAUUCAACUCUAGUCGGUUCAAUAUUGAUUCAAUUCAGUUUAAUAUCAGUGUCAAUGUUGCAGAAUUCGUAAAUUGUGAAACAAGUUCAAAUUUAGCUGUAAAGCAGCUCUACAGGAGACAAUAGAGUCAUUUUUCAGAUCAGUUCAAUUCUAGUUUUGUUCUCAUCUGAUAGUGUCAGCGCAGUUAAAUCAAUAAUAUUAUGGAAUAUUAAGUAUCUUUUAAAUCCAGAUUAGUCAAGGCAAAGGUAAAAUUAUUUUCUGUGUCAGUAUCAGCGCUCUAAUGAUGUAAAAUCUUUUAUAAUGCUACAUUUAUUCUGAUGUUGAAUAACAUUAAUCGAGUGAAUCUCAGAGAAACUCACACACACACACUCACUCUCUCUCUCACACACACACACACAUUUUUGUCUAUUUAAGAUUUUUUACUCAUAUUUGUUGGAGUUCUGACACAUUUCAGGCGAACAGAGUUCAAUCCCGUUGCUCUCUCUGUCUCUCUGCAAAAAAGCUGAAAAUAAAUCUUUUUUUUUUUUUUUGCAUUGUGACCCUAAAUUCUUAUGACUGUAAUUCAAUAAUGAGAAUAAUCCUGAAAGUGUUUUUUUUUUUUUAAAUUAAAAUUGGCAUUAAAAUUCAGUACAAUUUUGAUGUAAAAUUCAGUAAUGAAUCAAUAAACACUACCAUGAUGGACAUCCUGCUCAAACGUUGUAAUCGUUCGGGUUUCAGCAGCAUGCGAGCGUUUAAACAGUCACAAUGCAAACAGCCGUGAAGCUGAAGCGUUUGGUAAAGAGAUCUGAGUCCAUCUGAUUCCUCACAGACCCACCGUAGACCAGCGCCGCCGCAUCGGCUCUAGUGAUGCACCGAGAGGAGAAUUCUGGACUGAAACCGGAAAGAAAUGAUUUAAGAAUUCAUUAAGUUGUACAAACAUUGAAUGCAAUAUAAUACAUUUGAUGUGCAUACAUUUGCACAUAAUACAUUUAAACAGUGGCUUUAAUUAAAACUUGUAUUCAUGAUGGUUUAUUAUAAUGAAGUUAACAGGUUAUUUAAAAAAAGAAUUUUUCUGUCUGACUAACGAGUCAAAUUGCUGUAUUUCUGGAUGCUGACGUUGCGGUGCAUCACUAAUUAGCCUGUGUUUGACCCGAGCCGAAGUGAGAGCGCGUGUUCGCGGCGGAGGAGACGGUGGGUCGUGACAGACGUUCUGGAUGAAGUGUGUUGAUCUUGAGCUGCUGUAACUGUCUCUCUCCACUCUCUCCUGACUGUCUCCAGCUCUGUGCGUUUCUCUCUCUCUGCAGACCUUUAUCUUUCAGUGUCCCAGACAGGACAGGUAGACACAGGCCGGGAUCGCGGGGGCUCCGGCGCGCGCCGUGUCG